rnacentral:lncRNA from 1 species
CUCAAUGGGCAGUGCUCUCCACCCAGGUGUUGUUAGUGCCCUCUUUAUCAGAGCUGGAGGAGAAGGGAGCCCGAGGCGUGCAACUGUGUCCAGAAUUGGUGGGUUCUUGGUCUCACUGACUUCAAGAAUGAAGCCAUGGACCCUUGCGGGGAGUGUUACAGUUCUUAAAGAUGGUGUGUCUGGAGUUUGUUGCUUCUGAUGUUCAGACGUGUUCAGAGUUUCUUCCUUCUGGUGGGUUCGUGGUCUCACUGGCCUCAGGAGUGAAGCUGCAGACCUUCGGGGUGAAUGUUACAGUUCACAAAGAUGGGGCAUCUGGAGUUGUUCCUCCCUCCCGGAGUGAAGCUGCAGACCUUUGCAGGUAGUGUUACAGCUCAUUAAUGCAGCACAGACCCAAAGAGGGAGCAGCAGCACGAUUUACUGCUAAGAGAGAAAACACAAACCUUCCACAGAGUGGAAGGUGACACAAGCAGGUUGCUGCUGCUGGCCCGGGUGGCCUGCUUUUAUUCCCUUAUUCGGCCCCGCCCACAUCCUGCUGAUUGGUCCAUUUUGCAGAGCAUUGAUUGGUCCAUUUUACAGAGCGGUGAUUGGUCCGUUUUGACAGAGUGCUGAUUGGUGCCUUUACAAAUCUUUAGCUAGAGGGAAAAGUUCUCCGAGUCCCCACCUGUCCCAGAAGCCCAGCCGGCUACACCUCUCAAUGGCACUCGCGGGGGACUUGGCGGCACCUAGCCUGGGCACUCAGGCAGCCCAGAGGGAGCUCAUCCCCGGAUCAAGCCCAGCAGGCGCGGCCGGCUGCGCCUAGUGCAGGCCCGCGGAGCCCGCGCCCACCCGGAACUGCGCAGGCCCGCGAGCGCCAGGCGCAGCACCGGCUCCAGCCGGCACCUCUCCCUCCACACCUCCCCGCUAGCAGAGGGAGCCAACUCCGGCCUCGGCCAGCCCCAGAGAGGGGUCCCCACAGCGCAGCGGCGGGCUGAAGGGCUCCUCAAGCACGGCCAGGGCGGACGCCUAGGCCGAGGAGGCGCCAAGAGCGAUCGAGGGCUGCUAGCACGUUGUCACCGCUCACAACUACUGGAAAACAUUCAGAAUGUCCUGAGUGUUUUACAAAGUAUCUGCAAUUGGACUGUUUGGAACUCAAAUUUCUCCAAGCGGGAGCCUCAUGGGCAGGUCUUCUGAAACAAUGGAGGAAAUGAGCAGCUGCUUGCCCAGCGUGCAGGGACAUCAGGAUCUCCUGGUCUGCAAUCAGCCAACACAUUUCUAUUGAAUAUACUUCCCCCAAAAAGCGAGGAGCCAUGACUGGCCCUGCCAUCCUCUGAGUCUUCUUGGUGAAUGGAGACGGCGAUCUCAGAAUAUUGACAAGAUGAUCCUGAAAGUCAUAUUUCAAAUUCAAUUCAAGAAGCACGUACUCAAAAUAACCUUGAAAAAAGGAUAUCAAAUGGGAGUAUUUGGAUGUCAGCAAACGGCAGACUAUGAAGUUCCUAGCUUUUGUGCUUACACAGAAAUAUAUAUUUUUAGGGACAUGGAUGAAGCUGGAAACCAUCAUUCUCAGCAAACUAACACAGGAACAGAAAACCAAACACCGCAUGUUCUCACUCAUAAGUGGGAGUUGAACAAUGAGAACAUAUGGACACAGGAGGGAAACAUCACAUGCCGGGGCCUGUAGGGGGGUGGGGGAAAAGGGGAGGGGAAAGGGAAGGGAUAGCAUUAGGAGAAAUACCUAAUGUAGAUGAUGGGUUGAUGGGUGCAGCAAACCACCAGGCACAUGUAUACCUAUGUAACAAACCUGCACUUUCUGCACAUGUAUCCCAGAACUUAAAGUAUAUUUUAAAAAAAGAAAAAAAAUGUUUUAAGAGUUGUCAGUACUGACUCUGAAAAAUUUAGUCAAAGGUAUACAGCAACCUAGAAAACACCCCGUGAACAAAACCCAUGUUCAAAACUGGAAGAAAGUUAUAAGGCAUUUUACCACCCCUGCUCCAUUUCCCUCCCCAGUGCAUGGUGGUGGUUUUGGUCUUGAGCAGUGGUAGCUUAGUUCUAGACUCCUCCCUGGAACUGGAGGAAAAAGAGAGGUCCUAAAUUGCAAAUUUGUGCAUAUGUCUAUUCUAAACUGUCUAACCUAUCUGGGAGCUACCUGAAGGACUACUCACUGGUCUCUAUCUCAUAUAACUUAGAAUACAGGCAGAAAAAUUGCUGGUGCUUCUUAUAAAAGCUACAUGGUACUAGAAACCCACAGACUUCUAGGACAAGAAAGUAUGGGUGGAGACAUAUAGUAGAUCAUCUAAGGUCCAGAGGAGAAGCUUGCAUGAGACUCUUUGGGAAUUGAGGACAUUUAAAACAGCCAUGGAAAUAGGAGACUUUAGAAUGCAGUGGGCCUGCCCAGAUAACACAUAGACUACUCAGAAAAAAAUUGAUAUAAUCUUAAACUAACACCUUGGGCUAAUUCCUAGGCUUAGAGCUAGCUAGCUAAUCAGUGAAGGACUACCCCAGUACAGAACAAAUAUUCAUCAUAUGGUUCCUCUCAUAUGAAGUACCUAGAGUGGUCACAAUUGUAGAGAAAGAAAGAAUAGCAGUUAGCAGUGGCUGGAGGGAGAGGAGACUGGAAGUUAUUGUUUAACGGGUACUGAGUUUCUGCUGGAGAUAGGUAUAAAAGUUAUGGAACUGUAUAAUGGUGAUGGUUGCACAACAUUGUGAAUGCACCUAAUGCCACUGAAUUAUACACUUUAAAUUGGUUAAAAUGGCAAAUUGUAUUUAUGUAUAUUUUACCACAAUAAAAAUUUAUUGAGAAAAAUGUUGGAGAACGCAUACUUCCCAAUUGAUGAAACUUAUUGCAAAGCUGUCAUAAUCCAGAUAUUGUGCUGUCAGCAUAAGGGUAGACAUAUGAAACAACGAACUAUUAUUGAAAA